AUCUGUGGAAUAUUAUAUUUCAGGAUCAAGACCAAACCUACUACCAUUUGAAAGGGUCAUAUUAAGCAUUAGGUUUCUAGUACACAUUACUUAAAAUAUUAAUGAAGCAUGUAAUAGCUGUUAAACUAAAGACAACAGGAGCUGUGAAGAAGAUACCCUGAUAUAUUACCCAGAAGAUCAAGGAAGAAAACACCUCAGGAAUAAGUAUUUCAAGAGAUUUGUGCACAUCUGGAAAUAUAAAGCUACAUUUAAACACUAGGAAACUGAAGAGUACAAAAAGACCUGGGUGUCUACUACCUAAAAAAAGAAGGAAAGAAAAAUAGAUGACCAAGACAAAGGAAUGUAACUGCUUAACUCUCUUAGUCCUUCAAACUUGCAGAAGAGAGAACUGUGCAGAUCAACGGAGAGAGGGUGACUGGAGAACAGUAAGGAGAAUUUAUGCCUAAACAAGAGUAGCUGAAGGAAAAAAUCAGUAAAAAAUGGGUCAGUAAUUUUCAUUCUGACAAAGUUCCUUCAGAGUUAGGAAAGUGUGAGGUUUACUUUAUUAUCUAAUGUUUUAAGUGAAAUCUCAGGAUUAAAG